rnacentral:rRNA from 1 species
CCUACGGGAGGCAGCAGCCGCGGUAAUAUUGCGCAAUGGGGGAAACCCUGACGCAGCAACGCCGCGUGAAGGAUGAAGGUUUUCGGAUUGUAAACUUCUUUGAUUGGGGACGAUAAUGACGGUACCCAAAAAACAAGCCACGGCUAACUACGUGCCAGCAGCCGCGGUAAU